GACGAACGCUGGCGGCGUGCUUAACACAUGCCAGUCGAACGGAAAGGCCCUGCUUUUGUGGGGUGCUCGAGUGGCGAAUGGGUGAGUAACACGUGAGUAACCUGCCCUUGACUUUGGGAUAACUUCAGGAAACUGGGGCUAAUACCGGAUAGGAGCUCCUGCUGCAUGGUGGGGGUUGGAAAGUUUCGGCGGUUGGGGAUGGACUCGCGGCUUAUCAGCUUGUUGGUGGGGUAGUGGCUUACCAAGGCUUUGACGGGUAGCCGGCCUGAGAGGGUGACCGGCCACAUUGGGACUGAGAUACGGCCCAGACUCCUACGGGAGGCAGCAGUGGGGAAUAUUGCACAAUGGGCGGAAGCCUGAUGCAGCAACGCCGCGUGCGGGAUGACGGCCUUCGGGUUGUAAACCGCUUUCGCCUGUGACGAAGCGUGAGUGACGGUAAUGGGUAAAGAAGCACCGGCUAACUACGUG
rnacentral:rRNA from 1 species